rnacentral:rRNA from 1 species
AUUGAACGCUGGCGGCAUGCCUUACACAUGCAAGUCGAACGGCAGCACGGGUGCUUGCACCUGGUGGCGAGUGGCGAACGGGUGAGUAAUAUAUCGGAACGUACCUUAUUGUGGGGGAUAACGCAGCGAAAGCUGUGCUAAUACCGCAUAAUCCCUAAGGGGGAAAGCGGGGGACCGUAAGGCCUCGCGCAAUUAGAGCGGCCGAUACCUGAUUAGCUAGUUGGUGAGGUAAAGGCUCACCAAGGCAACGAUCAGUAGCUGGUCUGAGAGGACGAUCAGCCACACUGGGACUGAGACACGGCCCAGACUCCUACGGGAGGCAGCAGUGGGGAAUUUUGGACAAUGGGGGCAACCCUGAUCCAGCAAUGCCGCGUGAGUGAAGAAGGCCUUCGGGUUGUAAAGCUCUUUUGUCAGGGAAGAAACAGCAGCUCUAACACAGUAUGCGAAUGACGGUACCUGAAGAAUAAGCACCGGCUAACUACGUGCCAGCCACCGCCGUAA